rnacentral:rRNA from 1 species
UACGUAGGGUGCAAGCGUUAAUCGGAAUUACUGGGCGUAAAGCGUGCGCAGGCGGUUAUGUAAGACAGAUGUGAAAUGCCCGGGCUUAACCUGGGAACUGCAUUUGUGACUGCAUGGCUAGAGUUUGGCAGAGGGGGGGUAGAAUUCCACGUGUAGCAGUGAAAUGCGUAGAUAUGUGGAGGAACACCGAUGGCGAAGGCAGCCCCCCUGGGUCAAGACUGACGCUCAUGCACGAAAGGCGUGGGGAGCAAA